rnacentral:rRNA from 1 species
GACGAACGCUGGCGGCGUGCUUAACACAUGCAAGUCGAACGGAAAGGCCCUGCUCUUGUGGGGUGCUCGAGUGGCGAACGGGUGAGUAACACGUGAGUAACCUGCCCUUGACUUUGGGAUAACUUCAGGAAACUGGGGCUAAUACCGGAUAGGAGCUCCUGCUGCAUGGUGGGGGUUGGAAAGUUUCGGCGGUUGGGGAUGGACUCGCGGCUUAUCAGCUUGUUGGUGGGGUAGUGGCUUACCAAGGGUUUGACGGGUAGCCGGCCUGAGAGGGUGACCGGCCACAUUGGGACUGAGAUACGGCCCAGACUCCUACGGGAGGCAGCAGUGGGGAAUAUUGCACAAUGGGCGGAAGCCUGAGGCAGCAACGCCGCGUGCGGGAUGACGGCCUUCGGGUUGUAAACCGCUUUCGCCUGUGACGAAGCGUGAGUGACGGUAAUGGGUAAAGAAGCACCGGCUAACUACGUG